AAGGGCGGCCAGGAGGUCAGACUAAAAGUUGAGAAGUUAAUUAAAUGAAGGAGCGAGGAGAAGGAGGAAAGUGAAUCUGUUUAUCUCGAGAAAAGACCCUAGAGAGUCCCAAACCCGCUGUUCGAGAUCGGUGCGAACGAUCCUCUGGAUGACUUCGGGCAGGAUGCAGCCAUCGACCAGUCGCUUUAUCAGGUCCCUGUCAUUAAAGGGAUUCUCCACUGGCUCUUCUUCGGAACCGUGGGAUUCUUCGAUGGUGGCUCGGCGGCCACUCACCCUGCGGG
rnacentral:lncRNA from 1 species